UUUCUGCUAUCAUUGUACGUGUGCAUUUAGCCGACACAUUGCGGUGGGUGUUCCUAAGAUACUUGGAGUACUUUUCAGCAACACAGUUUACACUUAAUGCUUGUUAUAUUUGUAGCUGACAAAACAAUUCUAUGGAUAUCCCAAAUUAGGUAUGCAGCUAUCAGUUGAGUUGCCUUAAAUCUUACUUAGUUGUUCAACGAAUUAUAAACUUACCUUUACAACCCUUGGGACCAAAUUAAGGUAACAACGACUGGUUUUUUAAAAAAAUACGUUACUGUGAAACCGAGGGCACCAUGUUAUGAGGAGAUGGGGGCUGCGGUGACUCGCGGGAUAGGAAUUUCAAGAGAACCGAGCGAACGGGAAGUCGGCAACAAGAAUCUCUCUCCCGCUCCCAGGCACCCCUCUACCUACAGCCUCCUGUCAGAGCGGAUUAGAGUCUAUCAAGAAAUGAAGGGAGAGAUUGCUCGUAAACAUGACAAGCUGCUGUCAUUUCUAAAAUAUGUGUAUGUUGAUUCCAAAGAUCCUUUGUCUUCCGUGCAGGUGGAAACUACUGAAACACGUCAGGAGCCAAAGGAAUUCAGAUUGCCGAAAGGCCAUCACUUUGAUAUGAUAAAUAUUAAGAGCAUUCCCAAAGGCAAAAUUUCCAUUGUAGAAACAUUGACACUUUUCAGUAAUCAUAAACUUUAUCCAGAAACAUGAACUGCUGAGAAAAGAGUGCAAGAAUAUAAUUUAGAACAGAAAGAUGUGAAUUCCCUUCUUAAAUAUUUUGUUACUUUUGGAAGUGUCCUGAAUCCCUCAUUUAAGUUUUCCUUUCCAAGUUAGGUGUUUAGUUCAUUCUUCAUAUGUGAUAGUGAAAGUAAAAGCUUUCCUGACUCUUAAGACUGACAUUUUCUUGUUAGGGAAAGAGACUCAAUCGUAAGGUAGACUAACAAUAUUUCCCAAAUAAAGGCACAUAGGAGAAAAUAACGAAUCAAUAGAAUCUAAUUAAAAUUACUACCCCAGGGAAUAAGAAGUAUUGAGGAUUUAUUUUAUUUUGAAUUGGUUUUAAGUAUGGAAUAAUUGCCUUUACAGUUAUAAAAAGUAAUUAGUGGUGUUUACAAAAUGUUGGGAAUUUCUGCUUUGAUAAAUAGGUAAGUCCCAUGGCCUUCAGAGAGGGAGGCAAUAGUGGAAACUUUCGAAAAAGUAAUUUCUCUGGAUUUAACAUGGAACUAGAAAAAUUUAAAGAAUAAUUAAAUAAAAAAACCAUGGUAAAUGAAAUUUGGGGAUUUUAUACAUAGUUUCAGAUGUUAAUACUAGUUGAGAGAAGAGAGAAAAAAUAGCAAGUAGAAGCAGACAACAGGAUCAUUGGAAGGGACCUGAGAAAUUGCUGCUUCAUCCAUUUUAGCAAACUUAUUAGUACAGCAUGUACCAGUACUAGGAUCUUGAGUAAGAGUGUGUGAGUUUAGCUCUGCCUGAUAUAUUACUACUUGUGGGAUCUUUGGGAGACUAUAUCCUUUUUGAGAUUGAAUUUCUUCUAUAAAAUGAGCAUAAUGCUGCCUUGCUUAAAUUUAAGGGUUAUCAUGAAGAUAAAUGAAAUAGUAAAGGAAUACAAAAGACCAAGGAAAUAUGAUUUUUUUUUUUGUAGUGGAGAAACAAACUUCCCCAAACUGGGGAAGGAUAUAUGACCUAAGGUUUCUGUAGUUUAUGACCUAACCAGGCCCAGAACUUAGUUUUUCAAAUCCUAGUAGUGUGUUUUUUCUGAUGUGCCAAAAAGCAGCACACCUCAGAGAAGGGAAUAAGUGUGAAUUGUGGGUACAUUGGGGUUAUCAGUUUGCUUCUGAGGGAAGAUAGGCAUCACUACUUCCCAGAGAUGCCCCUGGAAAUGAUAUAGAAGAUGCUAAAGAAUUCAACGUGAUGACAGAAUGAGGCAUUUGUAGUAAUGCUGAGAACAGAAAAAUGGACUAAGUGGAAAAUUUGUAAGCAUGUCUUUGAAUAUAGAUUUAUUAUGUGAACAAACUACCUAGUUUAUUUUUAGUUCAAUACAAUAAUUGUUUUAAGAAAACAAAUAACUACUCAAUAUAAAAUGCAUUUUAAAACUCCUGUAAAUCAGUCAAAACUUUAUUCCAUUUGUCAUAAUGGUCACUAGUUGAGUCACUAAUACUAGUACACUCUAUUUCUGAGCCAUCUUUAUUCAUUUCUACAUUGUGUGGUUAGGCAGCUGUUAUAUGGUGUCACAUGAUAAAGGAUUUCUUCCCAUACCAUUAAAAAAA